UCCGGCUUAUCACCGGCGGUUUCUUUAGAGUGCCCAACUGAAUGGUAGCAACUAAAGACGAGGGUUGCGCUCGUUGCGGGACUUAACCCAACAUCUCACGACACGAGCUGACGACAGCCAUGCAGCACCUGUGCCGGCUCCCGAAGGAGCGCCGUGUUUCCACGGUUUCGCCCGGCAUGUCAAGCCCUGGUAAGGUUCUUCGCGUUGCGUCGAAUUGAGCCACAUGCUCCGCCGCUUGUGCGGGCCCCCGUCAAUUCCUUUGAGUUUCAGCCUUGCGGCCGUACUCCCCAGGCGGGGCACUUAUCGCGUUAGCUACGGCACUGACGGGGUCGCUCCCCCCAGCACCUAGUGCCCAUCGUUUACGGCGUGGACUAC
rnacentral:misc_RNA from 1 species